rnacentral:rRNA from 1 species
UGGGGAAUAUUGGGGCAAUGGGCGCAAGCCUGACCCAGCAACGCCGCGUGAAGGAAGAAGGCUUUCGGGUUGUAAACUUCUUUUAUUCGGGACGAUAAUGACGGUACCGAAUGAAUAAGCCACGGCUAACUACGUGCCAGCAGCCGCGGUAAUACGUAGGUGGCAAGCGUUAUCCGGAUUUACUGGGUGUAAAGGGCGUGUAGGCGGGACUGCAAGUCAGAUGUGAAAACUAUGGGCUCAACCCAUAGCCUGCAUUUGAAACUGUAGUUCUUGAGUACUGGAGAGGCAGGCGGAAUUCCGUGUGUAGCGGUGAAAUGCGUAGAUAUACGGAGGAACACCAGUGGCGAAGGCGGCCUGCUGGACAGCAACUGAUGCUGAGGCGCGAAAGCGUGGGGAGCAAACAGGAUUAGAUACC